UACGGAGGGUGCGAGCGUUAAUCGGAAUCACUGGGCGUAAAGCGCGCGUAGGCGGCUUUUCAAGUCAGGGAUGAAAUCCCACGGCCCAACCGUGGAACUGCCUUUGAAACUGUAGAGCUUGAGUGUCGGAGAGGGUGGCGGAAUUCCAGGUGUAGGAGUGAAAUCCGUAGAUAUCUGGAGGAACACCGGUGGCGAAGGCGGCCACCUGGACGACAACUGACGCUGAGGUGCGAAAGCGUGGGUAGCAAACAGG
rnacentral:rRNA from 1 species